rnacentral:rRNA from 1 species
GUUUGGGAAUGCAGCUCAAAGUGGGUGGUAAAUUCCAUCUAAGGCUAAAUAUAAGUGAGAGACCGAUAGCAAACAAGUACCGUGAGGGAAAGAUGAAAAGAACUUUGAAAAUAGAGUUAACAGUACGUGAAAUUGCUGAAAGGGAAACGUUUGAAGUUAGUAUUGUAUUCGUUGGAUCAGCUUCGCAAGGAGUGUAUUCCGAUGAUAAGCAAGUCAACAUCAGUCUAUGAGUGUUGGAGAAGGGUUUUGAGAAUGUAGCAAUUUAAUUGUGUUAUAGCUUGAGACUUGGAUACGACGCUCUUGAUUGAGGAACGCGUAGUAAGCUUUGAGCAGGUUCGAAAGGAUCUCCUUACUAUGGAUGUUGGUGAAAUAACUUUAAGCGACCCGUCUUGAAACACGGACCAAGGAGUCUAACAUGCUUGCGAGUAUUAGGGCGUUGAAACCCGAAUGCGUAAUGAAAGUAAUUUCAGAUGUGAUCCGCAAGGUGCAACAUCGACCGGUCCUGAUUAUUUAUAUGACGGUACUGAGUAAGAGCAAGUAUGUUAGGACCCGAAAGAUGGUGAASUAUGCCUGGAUAGGG